AUUAGAGUUUGAUCCUGGCUCAGGACGAACGCUGGCGGCGUGCCUAACACAUGCAAGUCGGGCGAAGAAGCUCCUCCGGGAGUGGAUUAGCGGCGGACGGGUGAGUAACACGUGGGCAACCUGCCUCAAAGAGGGGGAUAGCCUCCCGAAAGGGAGAUUAAUACCGCAUAAAAGGUAAAUAUCGCAUGAUAAAUACCUUAAAGGAGAAAUCCGCUUUGAGAUGGGCCCGCGUCGCAUUAGCUAGUUGGUGGGAUAACAGCCCACCAAGGCGACGAUGCGUAGCCGACCUGAGAGGGUGAACGGCCACAUUGGAACUGAGAGACGGUCCAGACUCCUACGGGAGGCAGCAGUGGGGAAUAUUGCACAAUGGGGGAAACCCUGAUGCAGCAACGCCGCGUGAGUGAAGAAGGUUUUCGGAUCGUAAAGCUCUGUCAUCCGGGACGAUAAUGACGGUACCGGAAGAGGAAGCCACGGCUAACUACGUGCCAGCAGCCGCGGUAAUACGUAGGUGGCGAGCGUUGUCCGGAAUUACUGGGCGUAAAGGGUGUGCAGGCGGAUAUUUAAGUGAGAUGUGAAAGACCCGGGCUUAACCCGGGCAGUGCAUUUCAAACUGGAUAUCUAGAGUGCAGGAGAGGAGAACGGAAUUCCUAGUGUAGCGGUGAAAUGCGUAGAGAUUAGGAAGAACACCAGUGGCGAAGGCGGUUCUCUGGACUGU
rnacentral:rRNA from 1 species